rnacentral:rRNA from 2 species
UAGAAUUCCACGUGUAGCAGUGAAAUGCGUAGAGAUGUGGAGGAAUACCGAUGGCGAAGGCAGCCUCCUGGGAUAACACUGACGUUCAUGCUCGAAAGCGUGGGUAGCAAACAGGAUUAGAUACCCUGGUAGUCCACGCCCUAAACGAUGACAAUUAGCUGUUGGGACACUAGAUGUUUUAGUAGCGAAGCUAACGCGUGAAAUUGUCCGCCUGGGGAGUGCGGUCGCAAGAUUAAAACUCAAAGGAAUUGACGGGGACCCGCACAAGCGGUGGAUGAUGUGGAUUAAUUCGAUGCAACGCGAAGAACCUUACCUGGUCUUGACAUGUACGGAAUCUCUUAGAGAUAGGAGAGUGCCUUCGGGAACCGUAACACAGGUGCUGCAUGGCUGUCGUCAGCUCGUGUCGUGAGAUGUUGGGUUAAGUCCCGCAACGAGCGCAACCCUUGUCAUUAGUUGCCAUCAUUAAGUUGGGCACUCUAAUGAGACUGCCGGUGAUAUGCCGGAGGAAGGUGGGGAUGACGUCAAGUCCUCAUGGCCCUUAUGACCAGGGCUUCACACGUCAUACAAUGGUCGGUACAGAGGGUAGCGAAGCCGCGAGGUGAAGCCAAUCUCAGAAAGCCGAUCGUAGUCCGGAUUGCACUCUGCAACUCGAGUGCAUGAAGUCGGAAUCGCUAGUAAUCGCAGGUCAGCAUAG